rnacentral:rRNA from 1 species
AACGUGAGGGGCGAACGUUGUCCGGAAUCACUGGGCGUAAAGGGUACGCAGGCGGUGGAGAAAGUCGGGUGUGAAAGCCUCAGGCUCAACCUGAGGGGGACGCACGAUACUACUCCGCUUGAGGAAGGGAGAGGGAGGUGGAAUUCCCGGUGUAGCGGUGAAAUGCGCAGAUAUCGGGAGGAUCACCAGUGGCGAAGGCGGCCUCCUAUCCCUUUCCUGACGCGCAGGUACGAAAGCUAGGGGAGCGACCCGG